GCUGGGCUUGGUGGUGGAUGCCUGUAGUCCCUGCUACUCGGGAGGCUGAGGCAGGAGAAUCGCUUGAACCCAGGAGGCGUAGGUUGCAGUGAGCUGAGAUUGUGCCACUGCAUUUCACCCUGGGUGACAGAGGGAGACUCUGUCUCAA
rnacentral:sRNA from 1 species